rnacentral:rRNA from 1 species
GAUGAACGCUGGCGGCGUGCUUAACACAUGCAAGUCGAACGAACCUUCGGGUGAGUGGCGGACGGGUGAGUAACGCGUGGGAAUCUGCCCUCAGGAGGGGGAUAACGGCUGGAAACGGCCGCUAAUACCCCAUAUGCCGAGAGGUGAAAUGAAUUUCGCCUGAGGAUGAGCCCGCGUCUGAUUAGCUAGUUGGUGAGGUAAGAGCUCACCAAGGCAUCGAUCAGUAGCUGGUCUGAGAGGAUGAUCAGCCACACUGGGACUGAGACACGGCCCAGACUCCUACGGGAGGCAGCAGUGGGGAAUUUUCCGCAAUGGGCGAAAGCCUGACGGAGCAACGCCGCGUGAGGGAUGAAGGCCUCUGGGCUGUAAACCUCUUUUCUCAAGGAAGAAGAUCUGACGGUACUUGAGGAAUAAGCCACGGCUAAUUCCGUGCCAGCCGCCGCAGUAACAC